rnacentral:rRNA from 1 species
UCCUACGGGAGGCAGCAGUGAGGAAUAUUGGUCAAUGGGCGGGAGCCUGAACCAGCCAAGCCGCGUGAGGGAAGAAGGUACAGCGUAUCGUAAACCUCUUUUGUCAGGGAACAAAGGCGGGGACUAGUCCCCGGAUGAGGGUACCUGAAGAAAAAGCAUCGGCUAACUCCGUGCCAGCAGCCGCGGUAAUACGGAGGAUGCGAGCGUUAUCCGGAUUUAUUGGGUUUAAAGGGUGCGCAGGCGGCCUGUUAAGUCAGCGGUAAAAGCCCGGGGCUCAACCCCUGCGAGCCGGUGGA